GCUUUGAAAAUGCACCAAUGUCAGUCACAGAACAAAGGCUUUCACGCAAUGCUUACAUUUAUUAAACUUAGUAGUAAGAUGUAGUAAUUAUAGUUGUGUAAAAUAAAUGGUCAAUCUUUUAAUAGAAAACAGUUACUGCGAAAACAAUGACGUUAUAUUUAUCACUCCACUUAGAAAAUCCGUACUAGAAAAUAACAUUGAAUUUACUAUAAAUGAAUUUAAAAGAUGUGUUGAAACAUAUAAUAAAACUCCUGCAAAAUAAGAAAUAUUAACACAACUAAUUAAGCAAACUUCAAAUUCAUCUGGAAAAUGCAAUCAUUUAUUGAACGAUGUAUAUCGUCUGAUAGUUAAUGUUCAAGGAAAAGAAAUAGCGAUAGUGAAUAUAGCAAUAGCAUUAGCACAAUGUAAUCAAAAAGAAUUGCAAAAUUUAUUGAAGAAUAAUUGCUUGUCUAGCUACACGAAGAAAUGGUACAAAAAAGUGUACAACCAAGUUCAAAAUUUGAAGCAGAUUUUAUCAAAUUUAUGACAAAAUAUGAACUCCUAUUUUCUACAAAUCACGUCAUAAAAUAAUAUCAAAUAAGAAUGUAAUAUUACGUAAAGUGUAUAUAUUAAUAAAUAGGUUUUAGAUUCUCUUUCAA